CUGCUCUGUAUUGUGUUACAGGACAAGCCAAGGGGCAGCACUGCCAGGGUUUGCUUUAGCAGCUUGCUGGGCCACCAGAUGUAUCCAAAUACGUGGUUCUGAUACCUGAGCCUCAUUUUCCCAAGCUGGCUUUUGUAGGAGGGAGUAGAGUUGAAGGGACCUCUUGGGUCAUUUGUGAAAUCUGGGCUCUGGGACAAGCCCUGGUCAAGGUGUUUCAUGCUUCUGAGACUCAGAGCCUGCUCUCAUCCCCCAGAAAGAAGUCCUAACCCUGGGCUGCUCAGCUGCAGACACAGCCCUAAGGAGCUGUGCCAUGAACCCUACCAGCAGGGAGAAACUGAACUGAGAUGUGCAGCUACAAGGAAUUUCACCCUGCUCUUUCUCCAAGCCUGGAACAGCAAACUCACUACAGAGACCUUGGAGUGUGGCAAGAGGUUCAAAAUAAAGUCUCUGUAAAGGAAAGGCCAGAAAGCACUGCUCCAGGCCAUUGCAAAGGGUGAGCCAAAGGGCUUGGGUAUCAUCCAUGUGAAGAUUCACCAACAAAUGGGACAGUUACA
rnacentral:lncRNA from 1 species